rnacentral:rRNA from 1 species
UACCGGAGGGGUUAGCGUUUGUUCGGAAUUACUGGGCGUAAAGCGCACGUAGGCGGAUUGGAAAGUUGGGGGUGGAAAUCCCAGGGCUCAACCCCUGGAACUGCCCUCCCAAAACUCCCAGUCUGGAGUUCGAGAGAGGUGAGUGGAAUUCCGAGUGUAGAGGUGAAAUUCGUAGAUAUUCGGAGGAACACCCAGUGGCGAAGGCGGCUCACUGGCUCGAUACUGACGCUGAGGUGCGAAAAGUGUGGGGAGCAAAACAGGAUUAGAUACCCCGCGUAGU